CCAAAUCCCCCUCGACCCCGGCUACAUCAGGGGACGCCGCCACCCCUCUGCCGCCGGCCUCUCCGCACCGGCGACCUCCCCUCCCCUCCCCUCCUAUCACUUCCCUUCCCUUCCCCCUUAUAGAGAGGCGAGCCCAUGUCGCUCCCGCCACGGUUGGAUCCAGACCAAGCACGUGGGGUUCCAGCUCGACAUGGCGGCGGGAUUCGCGGAUCCACGGCCACGGUGGUGCGAGCGCCUAGCCGCAGUCGUGAGAAGAGAGGAGGCAGGGCGGCCAUGGCGUUCCCGCCAUAGCCGGAUAACUGGCUCCACCACGAGCUCCUCGCAGAGUGACGAUGGCGGCUCCGAACCCUAGCGGACGCUCCUGCUCAUCUUCCUCCACACCUCCGGCGCCAUAUUCAUCGCCUACAUGGACGCAGCUUCCUCUCUGGCGACAGGAAUGGUUUAUAAUCUAGGUAGCGCAAAUUGUUUUUGGUUGGCGAUGACUGCAAUCAUUUUCGGGAUAAAAAGCAGUUAAGAGUUAACUUCAAAUUUAUUUUGACACUCCCGUCCAUAUUACUGCCGUUUAUUUAUGAAAAAAUAUUUGGUAGAUGGAUAACUAAACCGUCUUCCUUUUUUUUCAGCUUUUGGUGCCACUUUGUAAACUCUUAGCGAUAUGAGGAACCAGAGGUCAACACAAGGUAAGCACAUUCAGAAGCCAGAUUACUCUGCAUGAGAAGAUUCAGCAUAAGGCUUAUGGUGGUGAUGAAAACAUCAUCAGAAUCGUCACCACUAGGAGCAAAGCUUAGCUGCUUGCGACAUUCAACCAAUAUAGUGUCGUAACCUGCUCAUUCUGCUAUAUUUGUUAUGCCUACCUUUUCUCUCUGUUGCAUUCUACUAAUGGUUCAGUACGUUGGACAAGCUGCUAACAAACUAUUCUGAAUUUCUACUUGAAAAGAUGCAUCAGAUCGCAGAGUAUGUUGGCGAUGUCUUAGUGUGUAUUGAACAGCUUUUUUUAUUACAUCUUGAUUGUUGACAUUGGUGGUGUUUUCUUUUGGUUCAGCAGAAAUUUGUUGAAGUGAAAGAUGAAGAGGAACUUGUGGAAGAGCUGAAUACAGGACAUGGAAGAAAGAAGAAAGCAAAGCAUAUACAUUAUAAUGAUAUGUGGAGUAUGAUUUCCCUGAUGCUAUGUUAAAUGGUUUCAAGCACGUUGUGGAGGAUUUAGCCAUAGAUUUUGGUGUAACGUAAGGACGAUAUUUGUGUUCUUCGCUGAGCAUUGAAAACCUGCGAAUUUCUGGCUGCUAACUUUUUUUUGACUGUGCUAACUUAAACUAUGGUCUUUGUGGAGAACAUGUCCAGUAAUCUCAGUAUCAUUACCUGCACAGUAGAACAUCAACUAUUUUACCAUAAAAGUUAGUUCAAUUCA